CAGAGUUUAUCAAUGGGACACACUGUUGUAAGAGCUAAACUUGACACAGCCCACAGCGGUCCCAGCUCAGUCUGUGUAAAGCUCCCGUUCAACACAGUCACUAUGGGUGGAGACAUCACUGACUAUGACUUUACAUAUGACUAUCCUCUACUUAGAAGGGCAGGGCUCAUCAUUGCUGCUGUGCUGUUCUGCCUGGGUAUUGC